UACGGGGGGGGCAAGCGUUGUCCGGAAUUACUGGGCGUAAAGGGCUCGUAGGCGGCCAACUAAGUCGGAUGUGAAAUCCCCAGGCUUAACCGGGGAACUGCAUCUGAUACUGGAUGGCUUGAGUUCGGGAGAGGGAUGCGGAAUUCCAGGUGUAGCGGUGAAAUGCGUAGAUAUCUGGAGGAACACCGGUGGCGAAGGCGGCAUCCUGGACCGGCAUUGACGCUGAGGAGCGAAAGCCAGGGGAGCAAACGGG
rnacentral:rRNA from 1 species